GUUUGGUUUGCCAUCACUUUUUGUGACUUUUCUGACAUCUGCAAGUGUCGGAAGUGUGACCUGAAACAUUUAAGGACACUUCUGCCUGAACCAUGGGCAGAUGUUUAGACUCCAAGAUACAGAGGAGGAGGGUCUUGGAGGUUUCUUAGUAUAAGUUCCUCCCUGUGGUACUUGCAGUUCCUACAAGGGGCUGUCAGAGAAACAAGCCGGAGCAGAAGAGCAAGACAUGGUCCUGGUGCAUGAAAGGAGCCUAAGAAAGAAGAGUGAAAGCUGCACGUGUGUGAGUAUCUAGCAGAACAUCUAGAAAAUGCACACCAACCUCCAGCAGCAGAAAACAGUCUACCUCCAGAAAGCCAUAAAAGAGAAAAGAAUGUUGUACCAAACUAAGCAAAUGAAGCAUGAAAUGAAAAGCCGGUUGAGCUGGGAGGUAUAAAGAAUGGAAAGGAAGCAGCUACCACCCCUGGUAACCCCAUCAAUCCGGAGAAGCUUCGCAGAGUUACACUGUGCUCUGUCGGAGGAAGUCUAAAAUAACACAUGGGUGUCUCGGCCUUGGCACAGCUAAACCCUGGAACAUUGAACUGAAGUCAUAACAAUGGGUAAUAUUUUAAUAUAAUGAAAAAUUAUCAUUAACUUUUCUCGACAGGAAGGAAAUGAAUUUUCCUCAUUGUACACAUUCCGAGAAAAAUGAGGCUAAGACUAUUUCAAAGGAUGUUCUACCUAAUUCGAAUGGGCUUUAAGUGCCAUCUUCACAAUAGCGCCAGAGUCUGGUGUCAGCAAACUGAACAAAUAGAGCUACAGGGAGCGAAUGGGGCUGGGUGCCUCUCCAAAACAUAUGCAGAUGAACUUGAGAUUUCAGAGGACGGUUAAUCCUACACAGCAGUCAAGUGCCUUCCCAGGGAGCAUCCUGGCAGGCAUCCACUGUGCCAUAUGCUUUCGGGAAGUCUGGAUGCUGAAUGUGGUGGCUGUGGGGAAUUGAGCCUUAUUGCUUCAUAAGAUUCCUGGUGGUAGAACUAUUCUGAACAAGAACACGUCCGUCCCCAUAGGUGUGCUCCAAGAAUCACAGAAUAAGAAGGGACUUCGGAGAGAGCCUCACACAGUUGGGCAAUGGGAGCCCAGAGAGGCAAGGAAGGCUCCUUGCCCAAAGUCUUGUACAUCUGAAUCUGCAACUCCUGACUAUUUUUGAGUCUUAUGCUCCAGGCUAAAACUUGUGACUUUAAGUGUGAUGUUCUCGGUGAUGAUUAAUCUAGGAUGUUUCUGUUGUUUUCUUACCGUCAAAGAAUUAACAUCAAAAGGAAAGGAAGGAAGAAAUGUAGAAGUGAAGGCAAGAAGGAAGGAAGGAGGAAAGGAAGGAAGGAAAAUAUAGGCUUUGGGUAAAAAUAAGUUUCUACUCAACACUGACAAAGGUACAGGUUUUGGACAUUGGUUUCCUAAUCUGUAAAUGAGGAAUAGUCAUCACAUCGCUGUCCUGGCUGGUUUUGUGUGUCAACUUGACACAAGCUGGAGUUAUCACAGAGAAAGGAAAGAAAAUGCCUCCAUGAGAUCUAGCUGUAAAUGGAUUAGUGAUCAAGAGUGGGAGGGCCCAGUGUGGGUGGUGCCAUCCCUGGACUGGUGGUCCUGGGUUCUACAAGAAAACAAGCUGAGCAAGCCAGGGGAAGCAAGCCAGGGGAACAUCCCUCCACGGCUCUGCAUCAGCUCCUGCUUCCUGCCCUGUGUGAGUUCCAGUCCUGACUUCCUUUGGUGACGAACAGCAAUGUGAUAGUAUAAGCUGAAUAAACCCUUUCCUCCCCAAC
rnacentral:lncRNA from 1 species